rnacentral:rRNA from 1 species
AGUGAACGCUGGCGGUAGGCCUAACACAUGCAAGUCGAACGGCAGCACAGGAGAGCUUGCUCUCUGGGUGGCGAGUGGCGGACGGGUGAGGAAUACAUCGGAAUCUACUCUGUCGUGGGGGAUAACGUAGGGAAACUUACGCUAAUACCGCAUACGACCUACGGGUGAAAGCAGGGGACCUUCGGGCCUUGCGCGAUUGAAUGAGCCGAUGUCGGAUUAGCUAGUUGGCGGGGUAAAGGCCCACCAAGGCGACGAUCCGUAGCUGGUCUGAGAAGAUGAGAAGCCAAACUGGAACUGGGACACGGGCCAGAGUCCUACGGGAGGCAGCAGUGGGGAAUAUUGGACAAUGGGCGCAAGCCUGAUCCAGCCAUACCGCGUGGGUGAAGAAGGCCUUCGGGUUGUAAAGCCCUUUUGUUGGGAAAGAAAUCCAGCUGGCUAAUACCCGGUUGGGAUGACGGUACCCAAAGAAUAAGCACCGGCUAACUUCGUGCCAGCAGCCGCCGUAA